GAUCAACGCUGGCGGCGUGCCUAAUGCAUGCAAGUCGAGCGCGGACCCUUUCGGGGGUGCUGCGCGGCGGACGGGUGCGUAACACGUGGGCAACCUGCCCUGGGGUGGGGGAUAGCCGUGGGAAACCGCGGGUAAUUCCGCAUACGUUGCUUCUCCGAGCGGGAGGAGCAAGAAAGGGAGUAAUCCCGCCCUUGGAGGGGCCUGCGGCCGAUUAGCUGGUUGGUGGGGUAAUGGCUUACCAAGGCGAUGAUCGGUAGCUGGUCUGAGAGGACGGCCAGCCACACGGGGACUGAGACACGGCCCCGACUCCUACGGGAGGCAGCAGCAAGGAAUCUUCCGCAAUGGGGGCAACCCUGACGGAGCAACGCCGCGUGGGGGAUGACGCCCUUCGGGGUGUAAA
rnacentral:rRNA from 1 species